AAAGCUGCUGAGAUCAGUGAGUCUUCCCAUUGAUUUUAGUGGCCCUUGUCACCACCUAUUUUCCCUCUUUAGGGAAAAUAUUUGGACCCUGUGACCAAGCUACUUUAUCUCCUAUUUUGCAUUGAUUCAAGACCAGGAUAGCAGGUCAGGAGCAGAAAGAGAAGUAGAGCUGCUCCAAAGGUUGUAUGAGCCCUGCAUACAGCUGUAGUUGCAUGGGUAACCAAGAGAGCAUCAGCUAGAGAUGCACUGUUCUUUGGCUGUGGAGGAAUCAGGAGCAAAUUCUGUAGCUUCUGCUAGACAAUGCAAAGAGAAGUUUUCUUCCAGCCAGUACCGGCCUGGCAUUUACUUCAAGAAAGUACUUAUCUCUGGGAGCAUGUCAGGAAGGAAACUAUAGAAAACAUGAACAUAAAAACAUAAAAAUCUUGUCAAGUUAAAAGUGAGAGACAAAGAACGAGCCUCUGCUGGUAUUUCAGUGCAUUCCAGAAACACCCAGUGGUUGGCCAGCUGUGUGUACCCCAUACCAGAACAGAGAGAGGCUCCUGACUGUUACCUUUAAAUUUAUGGAUCCAUUUCCCCUGUAGCUUUGCCAUUACUACACUUUUCUAUAACGAGAGAGAGGACUUUGCAUUUCAAGUGAAGAAAAGAAAAUCCAUCAAGAUCUUUCUUAGGAAGUUUCUGUUGACCCCCAGUUGGCCCAGAGGCAUGUGCAUUGGAGCAGCAGGGUUUUACAGCAUGGGAAGUCAAAUCAAUAGGGAGUCUGUUUCAGAAUUAGCAAA